GACGAACCGUGCGAACGUUAUUCGGAAUCACUGGGCUUAAAGCGCGUGUAGGCGGGACGGCACGUCUGUCGCUGAAAUCCCCCGGCUUAACCGGGGAACUGGCGGAGAUACGACCGUCCUGGAGGGGCGUAGGGGGGACCUGGAACUUCCGGUGGAGCGGUGAAAUGCGUUGAGAUCGGAAGGAACGCCCGUGGCGAAAGCGAGGUCCUGGACGCCUACUGACGCUGAGACGCGAAAGCCAGGGGGAGCGAACGGG
rnacentral:rRNA from 1 species